rnacentral:rRNA from 1 species
GCCAGCCCGCUCAAGAAACUCAAAGGAAUUGGACGGGGCCCGCACAAGCGGAGGAGCAUGUGGUUUAAUUCGAUGAUACGCGAGGAACCUUACCUGGGCUCGAACGUAAGAUGACUGUAGGUGAAAGCUUACAUCUCUUCGGAGCAUUUUACGAGGUGCUGCAUGGUUGUCGUCAGCUCGUGCCGUGAGGUGUCGGGUUAAGUCCCAUAACGAGCGCAACCCCUACCUUUAGUUGCCAUCAGGUUAAGCUGGGGACUCUAAAGGAACUGCCUACGCAAGUAGUGAGGAAGGCGGGGAUGACGUCAAAUCAGCACGGCCCUUACGUCCAGGGCUACACACGUGCUACAAUGGCCGAUACAGAGGGCAGCUACCUGGUGACAGGAUGCAAAUCUCCAAAGUCGGUCUCAGUUCGGAUCGGAGUCUGCAACCCGACUCCGUGAAGUUGGAUUCGCUAGUAAUCGCGCAUCAGCCAUGGCGCGGUGAAUACGUUCCCGGGCCUU